GAUGAACGCUGGCGGCGUGCCUAACACAUGCAAGUCGAGCGAUUCUCUUCGGAGAAGAGCGGCGGACGGGUGAGUAACGCGUGGGUAACCUGCCCUGUACACACGGAUAACAUGCCGAAAGGUAUUCUAAUACGGGAUAAUAUGCUUUAGUCGCAUGGCUGAAGUAUCAAAGCUCCGGCGGUACAGGAUGGACCCGCGUCUGAUUAGCUAGUUGGUAAGGUAACGGCUUACCAAGGCGACGAUCAGUAGCCGACCUGAGAGGGUGAUCGGCCACAUUGGAACUGAGACACGGUCCAAACUCCUACGGGAGGCAGCAGUGGGGAAUAUUGCACAAUGGGCGAAAGCCUGAUGCAGCAACGCCGCGUGAGCGAUGAAGGCCUUCGGGUCGUAAAGCUCUGUCCUCAAGGAAGAUAAUGACGGUACUUGAGGAGGAAGCCCCGGCUAACUACGUGCCAGCCGCCGCAGUAA
rnacentral:rRNA from 1 species